rnacentral:rRNA from 1 species
UACAGAGGGUGCAAGCGUUAAUCGGAUUUACUGGGCGUAAAGCGCGCGUAGGCGGCUAAUUAAGUCAAAUGUGAAAUCCCCGAGCUUAACUUGGGAAUUGCAUUCGAUACUGGUUAGCUAGAGUGUGGGAGAGGAUGGUAGAAUUCCAGGUGUAGCGGUGAAAUGCGUAGAUAUCUGGAGGAAUACCGGUGGCGAAGGCGGCAUCCUGGACCGGCAUUGACGCUGAGUGAGCGAAAGCCAGGGAGCAAAGCGGG